ACGCACGCUGGCGGCAUGCCUAACCCAUGCAAGUCGCACGAGACCUUCGGGUCUAGUGGCGCACGGGUGCGUCACGCGUGGGAACCUGCCCUUAGGUUCGGAAUAACUCCCCGAAAGGGGUGCUAAUACCGGAUAAUGUCUUCGGACCAAAGAUUUAUCGCCUUUGGAUGGGCCCGCGUUGGAUUAGCUAGUUGGUAGGGUAAAAGCCUACCAAGGCGACGAUCCAUAGCUGGUCUGAGAGGAUGAUCAGCCACACUGGGACUGAGACACGGCCCAGACUCCUACGGGAGGCAGCAGUGGGGAAUAUUGGACAAUGGGCGAAAGCCUGAUCCAGCAAUGCCGCGUGAGUGAUGAAGGCCUUAGGGUUGUAAAGCUCUUUUACCCGGGAUGAUAAUGACAGUACCGGGAGAAUAAGCUCCGGCUAACUCCGUG
rnacentral:rRNA from 1 species